UCGCGUGUUUCCGUUUUGAUUCACUCUUUCUCUGAUUUUCCAAUUCCAAAUUCUGAGUCCUAAUUGUUUUUGUUGUUUGAAAUUAACCGCUCGAUUAUAGCCCGCUUUUAAGUUGAAUUUGCUCUUUGAGUGCAGCGGUUAUUUUCAUAAUGAUUGAAGGGAUUUCUUUCAUGGUUAUUCUGAACUCUAAGGUUUCUGAAAGUACUUUUAAUUUUUGGUUUUGGGUUUUGGUUUGAAGGGUUGUUUUACCCUUUGGUCAAGACAAAAAUAUUUUGUUUAUUUAUUGUUUAUUUAGCACUAAUUUGGGUUGGUUUUAUUGUUGCGAUCACCUGCUUUAUUAAAUGGUGUUGGUAACCGCUAAUACUUUAUUUUCGAGCAUCCCUUGAUAUGCUAUUUUCUUUCCGAAUGGGGGGAAAAAGGAGAGAGAGAGAAGAAUUGGCAGCUCGAGUUUAACUACAAGGGGCCUUUCUAGUUUUAAUAUAUUAUUUUCCCCUCACUCACUUUUUUUAUAUUGAAGCAGAAUCUUGUGUUUGUGCUGAAAACUGUUCAAAAAGUUUUUGUUCUUUAUUUAUUUAUUUAUUUAUUUAUUUUUUUGUGCUAUCUAUAUGGGGAUUGAUCUUUAAUCAUGGUAUGCAGCUUCAGCUGCUGCUGAUUCUUGAGGGGAGCUUGGGUUUGUGUAAUUGGAUAUAGCUUGCACUUUUUUAUUGUGGGAAAGAAUAAAACAAUGAAACUUCCAAACUCUAUUUAGUAGAAAAUAGAAUAUUCCCAAUCUUGGUGUGAUUAGCUUUUUACAAGUUUUGUGGUGGUUGCCAUAUCUAUUGCAAGGGAUCUUAAUUUUCCUGAUCAAGACAAACACUAAUUGAUGUAAUAUCUUACUAGUCUGUGACUGAAGCAGAAGGGUGAUGCAAUGAAGCAGUCUUUUGAUCCUUCAUCUUUGGGUCCUUCAAAGAUUGCAUCCAUAAAUAUACCUAGAGGAGUGGGGUGCAGUGCACGGGGGGUUUCAUCUGGAUCUGAUUCAUACCAUGCGUCAUCUGAUGCUAGUCUCUUUUCCAGUUCAUUACCUGUUCUUCCACACGAAAAGUUGAACAUAAAUGAUACUGAAAAUGGUUAUCAAUCUGUUGAUGACAUCUCAUCUGGCUUUGAAAAGCUUCAAGACAAGGGUUCAUUAGAAGGUGUCGGUGCUCAUGCAGUGGGAACCACGCUUCCUGAUGAUGAAGAGGAGCUUUUGGCCGGCAUAAUGGAUGAUUUUGAUCUAAGUGGUUUACCUGGUUCUCUUGAGGACUUGGAAGAGUAUGAUCUUUUUGGAGAUAUGGAUCUAGAUCCUGAUCAGGAUGGUUUCAGUGCGGGCAUGUCCAAAUUGAACUUCUCCGAUAGUGUUGUUAGCAAUGGUUUGCCUCAUUAUUCUUUUCCUAAUGGUGUUGGAACUGUUGCUGGAGAACAUCCAUAUGGAGAGCAUCCUUCUCGAACGCUAUUUGUCCGAAAUAUUAACAGCAACGUGGAGGAUUCAGAGCUGAGAGCUCUUUUUGAGCAAUAUGGUGAUAUUAGAACCCUCUAUACUGCAUGUAAACAUCGGGGUUUUGUAAUGAUAUCCUAUUAUGACAUCCGUGCUGCUCGAACAGCUAUGCGUGCAUUACAAAACAAACCUCUGCGUCGCAGGAAACUUGACAUACAUUUCUCAAUACCAAAGGAUAACCCAUCAGACAAGGAUAUCAACCAAGGAACCUUGGUGGUUUUCAAUUUGGAUCCAUCUGUUUCAAAUGAAGACCUCCGUCAAAUAUUUGGGGCUUAUGGAGAAGUCAAAGAGAUAAGGGAAACUCCUCACAAGAGGCAUCAUAAGUUCAUUGAAUAUUAUGAUGUCAGAGCUGCAGAAGCAGCACUAAAAUCAUUAAAUAGAAGUGACAUAGCUGGUAAACGGAUAAAGCUGGAGCCUAGUCGGCCUGGAGGAGCUCGUCGAAAUUUAUUGCUCCAACUAAAUCAAGAGCUUGAUCAAGAUGAAGCUCGGAACUUUCGGUAUCAAGUGGGUUCACCUGUGGCCAACUCUCCACCAGGUAACUGGAUGCAGUUCACUAGUCCUGUCGAGCAGAAUUCUAUGCAAACGAUCAGUCAUUCUCCUGGCUCUAGGAUCAUGAGCCCAACAACUGGUAGCCACUUGCCAGGGCUGGCUUCAAUUUUGCAACCUCAGGUAUCGAAUACUGUGAAGGGUGCAACUAUCGGCAAGGACUUUGGAAGGAGCAAUCACGGAGAGCACAUUUUUACCAGUAUGAAUUCAACGCAAGGAACUACUUUUCAGUCACAUUCACUUCCAGAGCCAAAAUUCAGCCAAUAUCGUGGAUCUUUGUCCUUGUUUGGUCCAUCAACAUCAAAAUCAAAUGAAUCUUCGAUGGAAACCUUGUCUGGGGCACAGUUUUUAUGGGGAAGUCCAACCCUUUACUCAGAGCGUAAUAAGCCUUUAGCUUGGCCAAGACCAGCUGCGGUGCAUCCAUUUACAUCAAAUGGCAAGGGGCAUGGCUUCCCAUACUCAAGUCAAAGUACUUCCUACGUUGGGGCAUCCCAUCAUCAUAACGAUCAUCAUGUUGGUUCUGCUCCAUCAGGUUUGCCACUAGAGAGGCACUUUGGUUUUCCUGAGUCACCUGAAACUUCGAUCAUGAAUAAUGUUGGUUAUGGAGGCAUGGGUCUGGGGCACACUGAUGGAAAUUACAUGGUUAAAACAAGUGGGUCUGUUAAUGCUGGCAUUACUAUUCCGAGAAAUAUUUCUGAGAACGGUUCAUCAAACCUUAGAAUGAGAUCUUCUCCUAGGCUUAGCCCCGUGUUUUUGGGCAGUGGUCCAUAUGCAGGACUACCACCUACUAUCAUGGAUAGUUUGACCGACCGUUCUCAGAGCAGAUGGAUUGAGAACAAUGAAAGCCAAGUUGAUAGCAAGAAGCAAUUCCAGCUUGAUUUGGAUAAGAUUAAAUGUGGUGAAGAUACAAGGACUACAUUAAUGAUAAAGAAUAUUCCAAAUAAGUACACUUCAAAAAUGUUAUUAGCUGCCAUUGAUGAAAAUCACAGGGGUACAUAUGAUUUUCUCUAUCUCCCAAUUGACUUUAAGAAUAAAUGCAAUGUGGGAUAUGCAUUUAUCAACAUGUUGUCACCCGCUCUUAUUAUUCCAUUCUAUGAGACAUUCAAUGGGAAGAAAUGGGAGAAGUUUAAUAGUGAAAAGGUUGCAUCUUUGGCAUAUGCUCGAAUACAAGGGAAGACUGCACUUGUGAGCCAUUUCCAAAAUUCAAGUUUGAUGAAUGAAGACAAGCGCUGCCGCCCAAUUCUCUUCCACUCAGAGGGUCCCGAGACGAGUGAUCAGAUCAUACAAGAGCAUCUUCCCUCCAACAUUUUGGAAUGUUCAGGCACUUAAGCCGAUUGAGCCGUCAAGUGAUUUUGCUGGGAGUCCGACGAAGGACGGAUAUCCCGUAAGCUGAGACAAGUUAACAUCAUAUUAUCUGCAGAAUUGCAUAAAACGAAACCUUUUGCUGUUAAUGUAAACUUCUGCAGGCGCGUCACUGGUUCUGCAUAUAUUUAGGAAAUAUAACUAAAGGGUGUAGAUUCUGUAUCAUAGUCAUUUUAAGGAGUAUUUUGCGACCAAGCUAUAAGAAGCUUGGACCAUUUUGACUGGUUUGCUUCACAGGUAACUUAUGUUGAUGGUGGAGACCAAGGGCUGAAGAUUUGAGCAAAUCUGGUUUUCAUUCUAGGGAAGGUGUCUCACUUGUUUUGCUCAUCAUGUGCUUUCUUUUUUCUUUUAUUUUUUGGGGGGCGGGGGGCCAUUUCGGGGUUUGUUUUUUUAGGGAUUUUGUUUUUAUUUUUGAAAAAAUGUCAAUAUGGUUAGAGCUUAUUUAGGUCUGAGAGUGAGAGUCGGUUGGUAAAUUAUUAGCAUGGGGUACACAACGAAAUUGUAUAGGGAGAAAUAAGACCACUUGUUUCUAAAUGCCUAUAAUGUACCGCUACUGUUGAAAACGACGUGUAUAAAAGUGCGCUUUUAUGCGAAAACCUCUGGAAUAUCUUGGUUUAAUUAAUUAAUUAAAUUUUAUU